GGCGAGGUGUAAUGGAUAACACAUCAGUCCAAUCUACUGAAGAUGCUGGUUCGCUCCCAGCCGCCG
rnacentral:tRNA from 1 species